rnacentral:rRNA from 1 species
AUUGAACGCUGGCGGCAGGCAUAACACAUGCAAGUCGAGCGGAGAUGAGGUGCUUGCACCUUAUCUUAGCGGCGGACGGGUGAGUAAUGCUUAGGAAUCUGCCUAUUAGUGGGGGACAACAUUCCGAAAGGAAUGCUAAUACCGCAUACGUCCUACGGGAGAAAGCAGGGGAUCUUCGGACCUUGCGCUAAUAGAUGAGCCUAAGUCGGAUUAGCUAGUUGGUGGGGUAAAGGCCUACCAAGGCGACGAUCUGUAGCGGGUCUGAGAGGAUGAACCGCAAACCUGGGACUGAGACACGGCCCAGAGUCCUACGGGAGGCAGCAGUGGGGAAUAUUGGACAAUGGGUGGAACCCUGAUCCAGCCAUGCCGCGUGUGUGAAGAAGGCCUUAUGGUUGUAAAGCACUUUAAGCGAGGAGGAGGCUACUGAGACUAAUACUCUUGGAUAGUGGACGUUACUCGCAGAAUAAGCACCGGCUAACUCUGUGCCAGCCGCCGCAGUAAAAC